AAGGGUCAUUCGACCGCCAAAGGGGUCGCGACCCACAGGUUGAGAACCUCUGCUCUAGAAAGACUAGAUAUGAAGAUAGAGAUGAAAAGCUAAGGGUUGUAUUUUGCAUGCACUUAAUUACCUUGUUUUACUGUCUAGGCAUAUCCUCCAGUGUGGUCAUCUUUAUUAUACUCGUCAUUAUUUUCUGGAUGAUUCUAAAGCGCAAAACACGCAAUGAUACAGAUGCAAAAUCUAAGGAAGUCAAUAUCCAUUUACAUGCCCAAGAAGGGAGCUGUGAUCAUGCACAAAGUCUGCAAACAAGUGAGGAACAUAGCAGAUCACUAAUCCCAAAGCCGUUGGAGAGUACUUCAGGAGCUGGAUACGCUGAUGCUGGUGGUGUCUUUCUUGGAUAAUUGUUUCCAGUGACUUGGGUGUCCUUCCUUGACAACAUACUAUAAAGCUGAAGAACAUCUCAAAUGAAAAUGCUCGUUGGAAAGGAGCCGAUUCAUUUCAACAGAAUAAGAUCUGAGACUCAUAAAGUCCUGGAAGUGACCUCACAGAGCGGCCAGGGUGUGCACGUGGAGAUGCUGGAGCUCUCCCAGUUCCUGAGGAAGCUGCCUCCUCAGAGUGUGGGUGCUGUCACUCCUCUUCCUUCUUUGUGCGGAAAUGAAAGAACACCCUGUCCAGCCAGGGGAAGGUCUGCACUUAGAGCUUAGAAGUACCAGUAAUCUCAGUUCCUUAAAAGAAGAAGUUGUCACCUAGGAUUUCUGUCUAUAAGUUUGUCAUUUGUCUUUCAUAUUUUUAGUUAUUCAUAUAGGUGAUCUUGAACAAUGUGGGGGUUAAGUGGUGCCAUCUGAAUGAACUUGCUGUUUCUGAUUGGCCAUUUGCUAAAUCAUGCAUGCAACAUCCCAGGAUGCAGAGGGUCAACUGUAUAGUUAUUGAAAAAUAUUCAAGUGUAGUUAUUGAAAAAUAUUCACCCGAGCAGUUCAGACUCUGUUGUUCAAGUGUUAACUGUAAUAUGGAAUGGACUCAAUAAAGAGAAUUUGGAAAAUGCAGGAGGAA